UGAUAAGUGGUAUUUAUACACACUUAUAGGCCUUCAUUUCCACUUAAAUUGGUUGGUUGUACUUAAGUGUUUAGUGUCUUUUAAUGUGUUUUUAGUGUUUUUCUGUGCAGGUCACGAGUUGAGGUGAUGAAGUGAUUUUCUAUCAUUUUAGGUUGUUUUUGGUGCAUUAUUUGCAAGAAUAGAGAAUUGUGGAUUCAUCACGACUUGGGAUUUUGUGGGUACAUCUUCUACAAACCCUCACGAGAACACACUCGUCCACUAGAGCUAUCUAGGGGUUUAAAGGGCUUGUUGCAUGUGCUAAAUGCAACCGUGAUCACCUACGGAAGUGGUACUAGGAGCGAGGAAGGACAUGCACACGAGAACGAGCUGAAAACGAAGAAUCAGGGCUGCCAUCACAGACAGUAGCGCGCCCGCGCUACUUACUAGCGCGCCCGCGCUAGUUUAGCGCGCCCGCGCCCAGCAGAAGUUCCCUGGGCCGAUUUUGAAGCUUUCUGAUGGAUUUUCGCAGCGGUCGAGGCCCGGUUGACUUGGUCAAUGUAAUUUAAUUUCUCGUGUGUAAAACCCUAGCCUCAGAGAAGUAGUUUUAGUAGAGAACAAUAGAAUAGUUUAAUUUAUCGAAGCACAUUAUCAGUUGUAUUGGAUCGUUCUUUGCGAGGAAGUGACAGUUUCGAGCGAGAUCGUGAACAUCAAUUCUGUAACGUGUGAUCUUUAUUAUUAAUUCAAGCACUUUUAUUAUAUUCAAUUCUCGUCUUUUCUUUAUCAUGUUUUCAUUAGAACCCAUGAUGUCGAUUAGUUCGAUUAUGAACUAACCGCCUUCAUGGGAUUCUAAUGGAUUUAUCGAUGUAGUCUAGUAACGAAUAUUAAUUGCUUGAUUAUGUGACGUACGUUGAUUUCUUUGCAUGCGCCGUGCUUAUUCUUCUUAGGAGCGUAGCUAACUUCUAAGUUGUUUGUUAAUUCUUUCUGAAGCGAGAGUGGAUGAUUGAAUUUAGAACUAUGCCAUGUAAACAUAGGAUUAUGUGAAUGAAACAUAAUUUGUGGUAGACUUGAACUAUUUUUAUCACCCUGUGUAAUCACGAUAGACGACUUGUUAUUAAACCUCUCUGCUUACACUACCGCUAUAGAGAUAUAGGGUCUGAGCUUUGUUGGUGUCCAUGAGAUUUCUGUCUUAAUUGUGGAUUUUGAUUGGUAUGAUAUGUGUGCAACGAGAGUUGGCAUGUAUUACUUUCGUGUUGUCUGAUUAGGAUCAACAGUCGCAUGUUAUUCAGUAAUUUCAAUUCUAGAUGAAUUCGAUAAUGAAGUUAGAAUCCCAUGUGUUUUCCUAUUCUGAAUUUGAUUAGUAAAUUUAGUUAUUAGUAUAAAAGAAACCAUCCUUGUUAAUUGUCUUGGCAGUGAAAAUUGAUCAUACAUUGUUGCAUAGGUGCGUAUUCUUAAUUCACCAGUCUCUGUGGGAACGAACUUAAUAUAUUACUUGUGAUCACGUGCGCUUGCGUGUAGAUUUUUGCGAACAAGUUUUUGGCGCCGCUGCCGGGGACUCGGUGUUAAUUAAUUAGUUUAUGUACUUGUCAUCAGUGUGCAUUAAAAUUCACUGACUAGGAUUCUAUUCUCUUCUCACUUUUCUUCUUUUCUUUAUUUCAGGUACUUGGAUCGCGUUUAUGCUAACACAUUCUAAAGCUCAUAAGAAAGCAAUGGAUUCAUCUUCUUCUUCUUCUGAUGCUGGAACAAGAGAUUAUGCAAGGACAGCAGUUGGUGAGGCUACACGUGGAUUUUCUCGUUUGAACAUCAAUGAUAAUCGGGCUGACACAAUUGAGCCAGCGAUAUCAGCCAGUGGUAUUCGAAUCAAGCCAUCAAUCAUUCUCAAGCUGCAGGAUACUAUUCAAUUUGGGGGAUCUGUUCUUGAGGACCCAAACUUGCAUCUAAGGAAUUUCGAGAAAUUCAUUACUGCAUUGGAUUUCAAUAUCGGACCUAAGGAUCUAGUGAAGCUGAGACUCUUUCCAUUCACGCUACGUGAUGUAGCACGAUCAUGGUUUAUCUCUCUCUCGGCAAGCACUACUAAUAGCUGGAACAAGUUGGAGAAAAUAUUCUGUACAAGGUUUUAUCCUCUAAUUAAAGUAUCAGCUAUCAAAAACACUGAAGGUAAAUUCUCUCAAUUCUCGGGAGAAUAUCUUUGUCUAGCUUGGGACCGAUUCAAGAAGAUUCUCGAAAAUCUCAAGGAAGAUGACAUGCCUCCUGGAAUGGCAAUUAAUUACUUCUACAGGGGUCUUAAUGGUCAAUGCAGAGCAGAGUUAGACGUAGCAGCUGGAGGAAGUUUGUGGAACAAAAGCUUCGAUGAUGCUUAUGAACUGAUAGAGAACCUAGCCGCUGCUGAGCACAAAGAUCUAAAGUGGAAAAUUCCAAAAGAGGAAGAAUCGGAGGAGGAUGAAGCGGUCGAAGUCACUCAGCAAGUCCAGAUGACUAAUUGGCACAGAAUCAGAGCUCACUCAGACUCAAACUUUAAUGCAUGUGGAGACACUUGUCCUCUAUUCUCUGCCAGUGCGAGUAACCAAUCUGUAAUUCAAUCACCUGCUGAUUCAACACUGAAUGAAGCACAGUACCGAAGAAUAAUCAGGCGUAUUGACGUGUUGGAGGAACGAAUUGGUCGCUUUGCUGAUAUACUAACGGAUUCUCUUGCUGAAGCGUUCUUGGCACUAGACGUCAAUGUUACUUGGGAUUCGUUUGGUUAUGGAACGAGGUAUCCUCCACAGGAUACUUCAUCGGAAUCGGAUUAAUUCUGGACUUCACGUCGAGCUAACGACGUUAAACAAGCGCUUCGUGGGAGGCAACCCACGCAUUGGAACCACAUUGUACCAUUGUAAACCUCAAAAACACAAAAAUCGGAAAAAAUCAGCCCCCGGUGUCAGACACUAGCGCGCCCGCGCUAGUGUCCAGCGCGACCGCGCUAAGUUGCACAGCGCGCCCGCGCUACACUUAGCGCGGCCGCGCUACUGACUGCCAAGACAGGCGAUUUUUCUCCCAAAAAUAUUUUCUUUUCGUUUUUAAAAGCCCACAAUCCUAAUUUUGCAUGCCUAGCCCGAAAUACAUCCAAUAAAACCCUAACUCAGCUAUCCAAUCCUUAUAUAAACACAAAACACAUCUCCAAAUCCCAUUAUAAUUCUCUAAACCCCAAUUAUAUAUACACAUCCAUACACACAACCUUCAUCCAAUCUCUCAAACCCAUUACACACAAACCUCUUACAAAUCUAAAUCUCUACCAAUGGCACCCAAAAGAGCCCGCAGAUCACAAGGACCGAGCACCCAAGCCCCUGCAUCUAGCGAUUCUUCCUCGAUGGGUGAGGUUGAGUUCACAUCCGAUGGUGCACGAACCGAGUUUCAACGGCUUAUGAAUAAGUCGUUAGUCAAGGAGAGGGGAUUCUUACCCACGGCGGAAGAUGGUGAGCUCUUGAACAUGAUUCAAGAACGAGGUUGGGAAUCUUUUUGCGAGGCUCCGGAGGCGGUUCCCUUGGCUAUUAUUCGAGAAUUUUAUGCCAAUGCCAAGGAGAAUCGUGAUGGAUUCACGGUGGUACGGGGAAUCCGGGUGGAUUAUAGUGCGGAUGCAAUCCGUAGAGUCAUUGGGGGGCGUGCCAGGUAGGGGUGUGCAUUCGGUUCGGUUAACCGAAAACCGAACCGAAUAACCGAAAUAAUUUCGGUUCGGUUAACCGAAAUUUAUAUUUCGGUUCGGUUUUCGGUAGUCAUAUUUUCAUUUUUCGGUUAUUCGGUUAUUCGGUUUUUUAACCGCGGUUAACCGAAAACCGAACGGUUAACCGAAAUUUUAUUUAUAUUAUAAAAAAAUUAAUAUAUAUUAUAAUUUAUAAGUUUAACCUACCCAAAUUGAAAUACCUAAUAACUAAUAGUCGUAUUACCUUCAGCCGACUUCAGUACUUCAGUUCAUUUACUAACUUGGCCAUUUCGGAAGAAUCUUUGAUUCUGUGAAGUGUGAAGAUUCGGAAAGCUCCUGACUAGUGACUAGCUACGCGAAGCUCUUGCCCUCAGUCCCUCACUCCAUCUCAGCAAAUCAAACAAUCGAGGUAAAUAAUCAAACAACACUUGAUUCGAUUUUGUGUCUAUAUAUUUGAGUAGUAUAUAUUUGAGUCGAUUGCUAGCUUUGCUAUUGCAGAUUUGUAUCUAUAUGCCUAUAUAUUUGAAGAUUUGUGCAUAUGAAUUGGGGGAUUUAAGAUUUGUGUGUAUUAUGUAUAUGAAUUGGGAGAUUUCAGAUUUAACAUAUUAAGUAUUAACAGUAAUUUUCAGUUUUUAAAACUCUUUUUAAAAAUUUCGGUUUUUAAUUUCGGUUUUCGGUUUUAACCGAAAUUUAAAAUUCGGUUCGGUUACAAAACCGAAAUUAUUUCGGUUCGGUAUUCGGUAGGGAUUUUAUAGAAAUUUCGGUUUCGGUUAACCGAAAAAAAAUUCGGUUUCGGUUUCGGUUAACCGAAUGCACAGCCCUAGUGCCAGGCGCCCUAAUGAAGAAGAUUGGGUGGUUGAGAGGAUUGGGCGUGCCAAACGCCGAUUUGAUGAUGAUCCGGUUGAUCUGGAGCGGUUGGUAUACGAUAUGUGUGUGCCGGAUACGCGUUGGAAGAUGACUGCACCUCCUUUGCCGGCACAUGUUUCUUUUCCAGCAGCCGCGUUGAACCGGUAUGCGAAGGCGUGGAACGCCUUCAUCUGUGCCAACAUCAUGCCAUCGUCACAUGGGCAUGAGGUGAUAGUGGAAGCAGCCGCGUUGAACCGGUAUGCGAAGGCGUGGAACGCCUUCAUCUGUGCCAACAUCAUGCCAUCGUCACAUGGGCAUGAGGUGAUAGUGGAUAGAGCUAUUCUGCUCUUUGGGAUUGCCUCGGGCAAGUAUAUUGACCUGGGACAUGUUAUUCAUCAGGGGAUUCUGAGGUUCUUACAGGGAGGAACCACUGGUGCCAUUCCAUAUGGCACAAUUGUUACCAAGCUCUGUCGAUCGAGUGGUGUUCGUUGGCCAUCCAACGAGCAAUUACAGUUGCCAGCAGCACCGAUUGAUCAUUCGGCGAUUAGUCGAAUGACAGAGUGGGAUGGAGGAGUUCCCCACCCUCGAGGCCUCGGGUACUUAUAUGAUGAGAUGCCAGGGGGACGUCCAGCGUUUGUUAGGAGGGAGCAGCCUAGAGCUUCUGGAGCCGGUACUUCUCAGACGGAGAGGAGCUCCGAACCGAUGGGAGAUGUUCAUUAUCGCAGAUUAGCGAGACGGAUGGACACUAUGCAUGACAUCCACCAGAGGUUUGCUUUUGAUUUGACACAGGCUCUAGGUAGUGCUUUUCAGGCACAGGGGGUCACCGUUCAGUGGCCAGUAUUCGGAGCGGGGAUGCAGUAUCCACCACCUGAUUCACCUCCUGCAGAGGAGGGGGAGGACUCGGACUCCGAGUAGGUAUGUGGGUGCUCUAGCCUUUUUAUCACUUUCAAUGGGGACAUUGAAACUUUUAAGUUUGGGGGUGGUAAUCUAAGGAAGAGCAUAUUAUUUUAUUACGUUUAUUAUUGCAUGUGUUAGUUAGUUCAUGUAGUUCACGUUUUUUAUUUUGUCUUAUUUGAUUAUUUCUCACGUUUGUUUUUUUUAUUUUACUCACGUUUUUUUUUUAGUAUGUUUAUUUUGCAUAGUAAUUGUCGUAGUUAGUAUCACGAGCAUUUGCAUGAAUUAUGAAGUUUAAGCCAAGUUAAUUGCCUAUGAUGAGUUAUGUGCGUAGUUCUUGAUUAGUAAUUUCAAUUGCAAUGCUAGGUUAGUACUUGGAAAUUGCUUGUGUUGGAAAUUGUAAUUCACAUAUGUUCUUGAGAUAGGAUUUAGACGAAAUUCCAUGAAUUCUAGGAUUGAAUUGAGCGCCCUUCAGCUUAGGUCUGUAAAUCUUAAGUUUGGGGGAACUGAGGAGUAGAUAUACCUUUCUAAAAAAAAAAAAAAAAAAAAAAAAAAAAAAAAAAUAUAGUAGUAAUAAAUUCACUAAAAAAAUAAGUGGUAGAAUUAACUAGGUUGAGCUCAUUAGUACUCGAGUAAUUAAGUCUGAGGGGACUUUGUGCCUAACAACCUAAAGCCCUUUGUGGUUUGGGAUUGUUGACCCAACGCUCGCUACAUGGGUACUAGUGCAUAAAUCUUUAGGGAUCUCAACCAUUGCACGGUUAAAUAAACCACUAGAAUAGAGUGAAUAAUUGGUGUGUGAAGUCUUGUGGUGUUCGUAACGCAUUUACACUGCGAAGCGCUCUGACCUUAGACCGAACAAUGAAUCACCAAUAAAAAGAAAAAAAUAAUUAUAGUNNNNNNAGUUUAAAACUUUUACGAUCGUGAUUGGGAUUCUGUGGGAGUAGUAGUUUUUGUCUUGUCUCAAUAAAAGAGCAUGCUUGCACACACUGGCACUCCACACUUGUAAAUAGAAGAGUAAUUGACUUGGUAGCGAGAGAAGUGAAAUUCGAGAACAUUAGCACGAUCUGAGGUAUUAUAAUUGGCAAGGCAAUUACUUCAUAGUUCACUCAUUCAUCACGUAGUUGCAUUCAUGCAUUGCAUUGUAUUAUUGUAUAGUGUCGUUGACGCUUGAGGACAAGCAUCAGUUUAAGUUUGGGGGUGUGAUAAGUGGUAUUUAUACACACUUAUAGGCCUUCAUUUCCACUUAAAUUGGUUGGUUGUACUUAAGUGUUUAGUGUCUUUUGAUGUGUUUUUAGUGUUUUUCUGUGCAGGUCACGAGUUGAGGUGAUGAAGUGAUUUUCUAUCAUUUUAGGUUGUUUUUGGUGCAUUAUUUGCAAGAAUAGAGAAUUGUGGAUUAAUCACGACUUGGGAUUUUGUGGGUACAUCUUCUACAAACCCUCACGAGAACACACUCGUCCACU
rnacentral:lncRNA from 1 species